rnacentral:rRNA from 1 species
CAUUGCAAUGAGUGGCGAACGGGUGAGUAACACGUGGGAAACCUACCUCUUAGCAGGGGAUAACAUUUGGAAACAAAUGCUAAUACCGUAUAAUAAUUAAAACCGCAUGGUUUUAGUUUAAAAGAUGGUCUUGCUAUCACUAAGAGAUGGUCCCGCGGUGUAUUAGUUAGUUGGUGAGGUAAUGGCUCACCAAGACAAUGAUACAUAGCCGAGUUGAGAGACUGACCGGCCACAAUGGGACUGAGACACGGCCCAUACUCCUACGGGAGGCAGCAGUAGGGAAUCUUCCACAAUGGACGAAAGUCUGAUGGAGCAACGCCGCGUGUGUGAUGAAGGGUUUCGGCUCGUAAAACACUGUUGUAAGAGAAGAAUGACAUUGAGAGUAACUGUUCAAUGUGUGACGGUAUCUUACCAGAAAGGAACGGCUAAAUACGUGCCAGCAGCCGCGGUAAUACGUAUGUUCCAAGCGUUAUCCGGAUUUAUUGGGCGUAAAGCGAGCGCAGACGGUUAUUUAAGUCUGAAGUGAAAGCCCUCGGCUCAACCGAGGAAUUGCUUUGGAAACUGGAUAACUUGAGUGCAGUAGAGGAAAGUGGAACUCCAUGUGUAGCGGUGAAAUGCGUAGAUAUAUGGAAGAACACCAGUGGCGAAGGCGGCUUUCUGGACUGUAACUGACGUUGAGGCUCGAAAGUGUGGGUAGCAAACAGGAUUAGAUACCCUGGUAGUCCACACUGUAAACGAUGAGUGCUAGUUGUUCGAGGGUUUCCGCCCUUGAGUGACGAAGCUAACGCAUUAAGCACUCCGCCUGGGGAGUACGACCGCAAGGUUGAAACUCAAAGGAAUUGACGGGGACCCGCACAAGCGGUGGAGCAUGUGGUUUAAUUCGAAGCAACGCGAAGAACCUUACCAGGUCUUGACAUCCUUUGACCACUCCAGAGAUGGAGCUUUCCCUUCGGGGACAAAGUGACAGGUGGUGCAUGGUUGUCGUCAGCUCGUGUCGUGAGAUGUUGGGUUAAGUCCCGCAACGAGCGCAACCCUUAUUGUUAGUUGCCAGCAUUUAGUUGGGCACUCUAGCAAGACUGCCGGUGACAAACCGGAGGAAGGCGGGGAUGAACGUCAAAUCAUCAUGCCCCUUAUGACCUGGGCUACACACGUGCUACAAUGGCAAGUACAACGAGUCGCCAACCCGCGAGGGUGCGCAAAUCUCUUAAAGCUUGUCUCAGUUCGGACUGUAGGCUGCAACUCGCCUACACGAAGUCGGAAUCGCUAGUAAUCGCGGAUCAGCACGCCGCGGUGAAUACGUUCCCGGGUCUUGUACACACCGCCCGUCACACCAUGAGAGUUUGUAACACCCAAAGUCGGUGAGGUAACCUU